GAUGAACGCUGGCGGCGUGCCUAAUACAUGCAAGUCGAGCGAACAGACGAGGAGCUUGCUCCUCUGACGUUAGCGGCGGACGGGUGAGUAACACGUGGAUAACCUACCUAUAAUACUGGGAUAACUUCGGGAAACCGGAGCUAAUACCGGAUAAUAUAUUGAACCGCAUGGUUCAAUAGUGAAAGACGGUUUUGCUGUCACUUAUAGAUGGAUCCGCGCCGCAUUAGCUAGUUGGUAAGGUAACGGCUUACCAAGGCAACGAUGCGUAGCCGACCUGAGAGGGGGAUCGGCCACACUGGAACUGAGACAGGGUCCAGACUCCUACGGGAGGCAGCAGUAGGGAAUCUUCCGCAAUGGGCGAAAGCCUGACGGAGCAACGCCGCGUGAGUGAUGAAGGUCUUCGGAUCGUAAAACUCUGUUAUUAGGGAAGAACAAAUGUGUAAGUAACUAUGCACGUCUUGACGGUACCUAAUCAGAAAGCCACGGCUAACUACGUG
rnacentral:rRNA from 1 species